ACCGCGGUUGCCCAGUUGGUUGAGGCAUCGGCAGUACAGAUGCUGAAAGUUGCAGGUUCAAAUCCUGCCUGCGGUG